rnacentral:rRNA from 1 species
UGGGGAAUAUUGGACAAUGGGCGCAAGCCUGAUCCAGCCAUGCCGCGUGUGUGAAGAAGGCCUUUUGGUUGUAAAGCACUUUAAGCGAGGAGGAGGCUACUUGGAUUAAUACUCUAGGAUAGUGGACGUUACUCGCAGAAUAAGCACCGGCUAACUCUGUGCCAGCAGCCGCGGUAAUACAGAGGGUGCGAGCGUUAAUCGGAUUUACUGGGCGUAAAGCGUGCGUAGGCGGCUUUUUAAGUCGGAUGUGAAAUCCCUGAGCUUAACUUAGGAAUUGCAUUCGAUACUGGGAAGCUUGAGUAUGGGAGAGGAUGGUAGAAUUCCAGGUGUAGCGGUGAAAUGCGUAGAGAUCUGGAGGAAUACCGAUGGCGAAGGCAGCCAUCUGGCCUAAUACUGACGCUGAGGUACGAAAGCAUGGGGAGCAAACAGG